UACAUAAAUGCAAUGCGGCGGACUGGCGUGGAUGAGUGGGAUUCUGUUCCAUGUGUCAUUCCGCAAUUCAUGACUAGAUCCACACUCAUCCACAACCACCCGCAACACAUCCACGCUGUACA
rnacentral:pre_miRNA from 10 species